UGGAUGGAAAGGAUUUGUUUAUGUCAUACAGAAACUAUGCCAGCAACUGCUCUGUUGCAAAAUGUAUUUUGGAGCCAUAAUACCAUCUAUGGAGGUUGGCUGCUAAUGGCAGGGUAUGAUAUUAUUACAUUUAAUUAUAGGUAUGCACGGAAUACUCAUCCUACUCAUUCUGCAUGCUGCUUUGUUCUGCUUGGUAUCAGGUUCUCCAUCCCCUUCUGUCCAUUUCUGUGCUUCCUGGGGAUAAGCUGAUGGGUUGAGGUUGCAGGACACCUGGACUCUGUGCCACCCAGUUGCUGCAAUUCCUAAUCCAAUUCCAAAGAUGCAUGAUAAAUCUUUUGCAGAACUUGUGAACCAGGCAGGUUUGCAGAUUUUUUUCCCCCACUUUGCCAUUUCUACUGUGCUCUGUAACGUCCAAGUGCUUGCCCCACAUCUACUGGCCUUGGUCCAUGCAGUGGUGCAGGGAUCACCAAUUUUCUGUCUUUCCCCUUCCGUUUUUUUUGUCCUGCUAUGUUUCCCUUCAUCCACGAUUUACUGGAGAGGGAUGGGGCACACCAUCCCUCAGACUAAUGCAGGGGGAUGGGGGCAAGGCAUUGGCUGGAGUCCCUUCAAGCUGAGCCCAGUUCCUUGUUCAGCCACUUCCUGCAGUGCAGGGCAGGAACAUACAUGCUUCUCCUUCCAGUGCCUGGUCCUGGUCAACAGGGGGACACCUGUCAGGAGGGGAGGUGGGCAGACAGGUAGCCCUGGAAGAAGAAAACUGCACCGCUGCAGCUGUUCCCAGCUGAGCCUGGCACCUUACGUAGUUUUAGCUUGUGGCUGCUGUCCCACAAUGACCCAGGUACGGGGGCAACCCCACCAGUUGUGGGGCUGCCCCUGUGCCUGGGUCAUCUGGGGACAGCAGCAGCAGUGGUAGAAGAGGGUGUGAUUGCACUGCUGCACCCCUCUGGAUCCACCCCGACUGCCUCAUUCCUUGUGAAGACAAGCUGUCCUAGGUAGCCGAGUCCUGUCAUCAUAGUGAAAGAGCAACAGCCUCAACCAAGCACACCCAAAAUGAAAUAACAGAUUUAGAGAUAAACAUUUAUAUUGGCCAAGCUCACAGUACUAAUCAAGAGUUUGCUGUGCAGCCUGAGAGGACCCUUGCCCUGGUUUGUUGGAAAGGAGGUUGUUCUGCUAAAGGAAGAUAAAUCUUUGAUCUUCUAUGCAGGCAGCAUCUCCUAUAGAGUUACAGUAUAAAGCAUCAUUCCAAACAUUCAUGUCACCAGAAUAAUGGCUAAUCUCUAUUUUGUCUACUGUUGUAUGCCGUCUGGCAACUGGGCCUACUAUUUAAUUUAUGACACUAUAGUAUGGUAUAUGCAAUCAUAGAAUAAGCCCAGCAGCACGUGCCACUACUCACAUUCUGUGCACUGUACCAUGUAGUGGGGAAAUUCAUGCUUCUGGGUUUCUGUGGCGACCAUCCAGGGAUGCUCCCAAUCAGUGGUAAAUUCCAAGACAGUGGCAUUCUUCAGGGCCAGAGCUUGCACCUCUAUAGGUAAUUUAGUUUUCACAUUUGAUGGCAGUGGAGUAGGAUCAUUCCCCUGCAUCAGUCGUGCCACAUGUUAUUAUUUCAGUCUCUUUCUCCUCAGAAACAUGCAUGUUAAAUGCACACAGAUGGAACCAACUUUUCCUGAGCAUUAGGUUUCUUUAUUGGUCUCGGGGAUCACCGAGUGGAACCUGAGUCUCCUAGCUCAACACCCAGUGCUGUCUGUCUCCCUUAGUGAGGGGAGUGACCAAUGACCAAGGAUCCUGGUUUUCUCCGUUUAAAAAUCCCAAAUUCUCUGAUUUAAAAAAACUCCUCAGAAUCUCUGAUUAAAAACCCCCAUAACCCAUGUUUUUCUGUGAUUAAAAUGAAAUGCCAACAUAUAUGCAGGUAUCAGUUGAACACAAUGUCUUAUUGAUAUAUUUACAAUUUUAAAGGAAUUUGGAAGCCUACCAGCGCCUUAAUCAUUAUAAUUAAAUACAUUCUAAAUACCUGUA